rnacentral:lncRNA from 1 species
AAAGGGAACUGGGCGUUUGCCGCAGGGAAAAGUAAGGUGUUUCUGCUCUCGCGCCAUAUGCAGUUCCCGCGGGAUCUCGUUGAGGGCGGGGCACCCAGUUCCUUACGAAAGGGAUGGAGGGGGUGGUACUUCUAAAGUUGGCGGUGUUUCGUACCGGCCGCGGGAUUUCGCGGACUGGGGCGCUGAGGUUCUUUGAGCGGCGUGUGGACCUGAAUUCCCUGGAAACAGGCUGGGGCCGCGAGGGGCCUCCGCUCCGGGCGGGGUCCCCAGAUAGCCCCGCCUCGAAUAAAAAUGACGAGCACGGGUCCUCUCUCGGGCCCGCAGUGGGUGGACUGCGUCGCAGACCCGUAGUGGAGGCGCCCAGCUCGCCGGGGAGAUUCGAGUGGAAACCCUCACGGCCGCCGGUGGUGGGCCCCGGCGCGGCGCUGGGCUCCGGCGGGUCUGCGCUGGGGAGGGCCAGGGCCCCUGAAGCCGGCGUCCCUCUUAGGGGACGCGCCUGGGUGUGUCUUCACCGUUUGCCUGGUGAGUUGGAGACAGGGUCUCGCUCCGUCGCCCAGGCUGGAGUGCAGUGGUAGGAUCAGGGUUCAUUGUAGCCUCCGCCUCAGCCUCUGGAGUAGCUGGGACCUCAGGCGCGCGCCACCACGCCCGGCUAAUUUUUUAAAUUUUUUUGUAGAGACGGGGUUGGGGGAGGCGGGGGUUAGGGUUGUCCUGGCUGGUCUUGAACUGCGGGGCCUCAGGUGAUCCGCCUGCCUUGGCCUCCCAAAGUGCUGGGAUUACAGGCAUGAGCCACUGUGCCCGGCAAGCAGCUGUUAUAAAUAAAAUACAUGCUGAGCCUGCAAUUUGCUCUUAAUGAAGGCCACUUGUCAGUAGACGGUGCUGCUAAUGCGUGUCCUGCAGCAAAGAUAACCCAGACGGGAUCAUUUUUUAAUUGCCCAGCAGAACUUUAACCAGUUGUGCAUCUUAACCUGCUUUUUGUUUGUUCGUUUGUUUGUUUUGAGACAGUCUGGCCCUGUCGCCCAGGCUGGAGUGCCAUGGCGCGAUCUCGGUUCACUGCAGCCUCCACCUCCCGAGCACAGGCGAUCCUCCCGCCUCAGCCUCCAGAGCACCUGGGACCACAGGUGUCCACGCGCAGCCACUAACCGCUUUCUUAUCUGACACUUUAAGUGCUUCUUCGUACCCAGCUCCUCUAACGCCUUUUGAAGCAGCUCCAUCAUCUUUGAAGGGCAGUUCAUGCUGUUGAGAAUCAUGUUUUUAACUUUGGGAAAAUUGUAUUUCCACGAGCGCCAGCUCUGUCCUUUUUUUUUUUUUUUUUUUUUUUUUUUUUUGACGGAGUCUUGCUCGGUUCGC